rnacentral:rRNA from 1 species
GAAUGCUGACAUAAGUAACGAUAAAGCGGGUGAAAAGCCCGCUCGCCGGAAGACCAAGGGUUCCUGUCCAACGUUAAUCGGGGCAGGGUGAGUCGACCCCUAAGGCGAGGCCGAAAGGCGUAGUCGAUGGGAAACGGGUUAAUAUUCCCGUACUUGGUGUUACUGCGAAGGGGGGACGGAGAAGGCUAUGUUGGCCGGGCGACGGUUGUCCCGGUUUAAGCGUGUAGGUGUGUGUUCCAGGUAAAUCCGGUUCACUUUAACACUGAGGCGUGACGACGAGGCACUACGGUGCUGAAGCAACAAAUGCCCUGCUUCCAGGAAAAGCCUCUAAGCAUCAGGUAACAUCAAAUCGUACCCCAAACCGACACAGGUGGUCAGGUAGAGAAUACCAAGGCGCUUGAGAGAACUCGGGUGAAGGAACUAGGCAAAAUGGUGCCGUAACUUCGGGAGAAGGCACGCUGACACGUAGGUGAAGUGAUUUACUCAUGGAGCUGAAGUCAGUCGAAGAUACCAGCUGGCUGCAACUGUUUAUUAAAAACACAGCACUGUGCAAACACGAAAGUGGACGUAUACGGUGUGACGCCUGCCCGGUGCCGGAAGGUUAAUUGAUGGGGUCAGCGCAAGCGAAGCUCCUGAUCGAAGCCCCGGUAAACGGCGGCCGUAACUAUAACGGUCCUAAGGUAGCGAAAUUCCUUGUCGGGUAAGUUCCGACCUGCACGAAUGGCGUAAUGAUGGCCAGGCUGUCUCCACCCGAGACUCAGUGAAAUUGAACUCGCUGUGAAGAUGCAGUGUACCCGCGGCAAGACGGAAAGACCCCGUGAACCUUUACUAUAGCUUGACACUGAACAUUGAGCCUUGAUGUGUAGGAUAGGUGGGAGGCUUUGAAGUGUGGACGCCAGUCUGCAUGGAGCCGACCUUGAAAUACCACCCUUUAAUGUUUGAUGUUCUAACGUGGACCCGUUACCCGGGUUGCGGACAGUGUCUGGUGGGUAGUUUGACUGGGGCGGUCUCCUCCUAAAGAGUAACGGAGGAGCACGAAGGUUGGCUAAUCCUGGUCGGACAUCAGGAGGUUAGUGCAAUGGCAUAAGCCAGCUUGACUGCGA